UACGUAGGGGGCAAGCGUUGUCCGGAAUCAUUGGGCGUAAAGAGCGUGUAGGCGGCCCAGUAAGUCCGCUGUAAAAGUCCAGGGCUCAACCCUGGAAAGCCGGUGGAUACUGUCGGGCUAGAGUCCGGAAGAGGCGAGUGGAAUUCCUGGUGUAGCGGUGGAAUGCGCAGAUAUCAGGAGGAACACCGAUGGCGAAGGCAGCUCGCUGGGACGGUACUGACGCUGAGGCGCGAAAGCGUGGGGAGCGAACAGG
rnacentral:rRNA from 1 species